AGCGAACGCUGGCGGCAGGCCUAACACAUGCAAGUCGAACGGACCCUUCGGGGUUAGUGGCGGACGGUUGAGUAACACGUGGGAACGGGCCUUUAGGGUCGGAAUAGCUCCUGGAAACGGGUGGUAAUGCCGAAUGUGCCCUUCGGGGGAAAGAUUUAUCGCCUUUAGAGCGGCCCGCGUGUGAUUCGCUAGUUGUUGAGGUAACGGCUCACCAAGGCGACGAUCAGUAGCUGGGCUGAGAGGAUGACCAGCCACACUGGGACUGAGACACGGCCCAGACUCCUACGGGAGGCAGCAGUGGGGAAUCUUGCGCAAUGGGCGAAAGCAUGACGCAGCCAUGCCGCGUGAAUGAUGAGGGUCUUAGGAUUGUAAAAUUCUUUCACCGGGGACGAUAAUGACGGUACCCGGAGAAGAAGCCCCGGCUAACUUCGUG
rnacentral:rRNA from 1 species